AGGGGAUUGAGAGAGGCGGGGGAGCUCUUCGGAGAGCCGCCUCGAAGUCCGGUGGCUGUUGAAGAAGCACUUCGGCGGCGGCAUUGACGGUGGAGGCAUUGACGGCGGAGGCAUUGACGGGGGCGGCUGGACGAGGCAGAACGAUGAUGCCGGUAUAGCCGGGAGGGACGUCGCCGUAGCGAGUGAGGAAAAGCACUGGGAAUUCGGAGGCGGCAGCGGCAGGAGGGGCGGCGGUGGCG
rnacentral:misc_RNA from 1 species